UCGACUGACUUAGUUUUAUACCUCUUCUUCCAAAUUUCAGGGCACUUAAUUUUCCCCUCUCCCUCUUCCCCGACCUAUUCACCGGUGGUACUAUCUUGCAUCUCUUACCGACGGCGGCUACUAAACUUUUUUCCCUCUUCAUUUUCGUCUUCGUCGCACGCACAAUUACUAGGUAUAUACAAUUUCUGCGAUUUAAGCAAUUUGGGCGAUUUGUGCCUGUUUUUCUAGAAUCUUCACAACUAAAACCCUUAUCGCCAUGUCCGCUUCUUCCAGCUUCAUUCAGACUAUUGUUCCUCUAUCUGGUUCUAAGCGGAUUAAAACUCUUUUCAAUGGCGGACUUUAAUUCCUCCUCACAGUUCCAGAAAGUUCAGAUUCAACGAGAUGGCACUGUACUCUAAGCUUUGCUCUUCAAUAUUCUUUUCUCCUCAUUUCUGCCAUAUAUUUACCUUAUGUAUAUUAUUUUCAAAAUAUAAAUCUUUACAUGUUUUGAGAAUUUAAUGGUGAAUUUGUUCCGAUAGUCAUAGCUCAUACAGAGAGAAAAUAUUGUGUAUUACCUCAGAAUUAGGCUGAUUUCAAUAGAUUAGGUUUUAGACAAAUAUAAGAUUCAAUUGUAAUUAACCCUAAUUUUCAAUUGAUUGAUCAGCCAAAAAAUAUAGAAACAUCUAGUAAAUGAAGAUUUUAUCAGGUUGAUUAAUACUAAUAAUAGUAUAAAAAAUUAUCCUUUAUUUAUGUAUAGCUCUGUCUUAGUAAAAUUUUAUCAUUAGGUAAAAAGAUUGUUUGCUUGUGGAUGAAGGAGUUUACUGCAAUUAUCAACAUAUGCAGGUGCCAUCACGAUUGGGAACGAUGUUGAUAUUAUUGUGUGGGAGCCAAAGUGGAGUUUGACCUCGAUGAUAAUCAUCCAUCCUAUAUACCUUAAGCAUCAUGUAUGUGCUCUUUUAUAUCUAUCCUCUUUGUUUCUCAUUUACUUCAUUAGAGUGGUUGAUGGUAUGUCUUAUAAAAUAUGCUGAAGUCUAGUUGGUUAAGCAAUGUGUUUUAGCAUAGAAAUGAUUAAGAACUUAUAUUAAUGAAUAAGCAACUGGUCUAUGCAGUGAUCAAGUUAAUAUUUGAAUACAUUCAACUUGAUCUCUAUGUUUUCACAAUUCUUAUUUUCUUUAUUAUAUCAGUGACACAUAACAAAUGCUUAAUGAUAGAAAAGUAGAUGAGUUGUCAGAAUGCAAUUUGGUUAUUGGUUUGUUAUAGUAUGUGAGCAUUUCUGCUAAUAAAAAUGGAGACAGGAUAUCGGUUGGACAUGUCAAAUAGCAUAUUUAUAUUUCAGUUAUUUCGUAGUUUACACAGAUUCAUUCCUCUAUACCCUUUCAAGCAUCUUCUAUACAAUCAACUAGAAUUUUGGGUACACACAGGGUAUUUUACAUUCUAUUAAGAUAAAUAUCUCACAAGGCUAAACUGCAUCUUAUUUAAAUAAUUACACAAAUUAGGUCUGCAGUUGGCAUCCCAAGCUGCUUAGGAUUUUCUUGGCCAAUGGCCUUUCAACAUUCAAAUGUGCAACUGCCCACUAGCAAACUGCCUGCAAAUGUGUUUCACCCAUGUUCUACAAUUCAAACCUAAGACUUGUCAGCAUGUGUGUGGAGGUUGGCUGAGUCAGUAACUGCCCACCAAUUUAGUUAGUUAGCUCACAUUCUUUGUUGUCUCAGCCCACAAAUUUACCCAACAUGUGUCACAAUGCUUUAUCCAUCCAGCCCACACGAAAAUCCAACUAGGCCAAGCACUUGCCUAGGGUAAGGUGGUGCCCACUAUAAACAUGCCCACACACAGUAAUGUUCCUGCCCAAUCAUGCCCAGCCCAUGAAAGGGUCUUUAAUCCAAUCCAAGCUACCAAUCUGUAUGCUAGCAUUAUUGUUAGGGGAGUCCAACAAUGUCCUAAUGACCCGCACACAUAGGCCAUGACAGCCCACCCAUGGCCUAGGUGGAUCACCCCUCCCCUAUAGUAGACAUUAAGAAAAUAUUCUAAGUGUCACCAACAAACAUCAAAUCAAACAUCAGAUAUGUUUGAGGAAUUAUAAUGUAUACCCCCUGAAUAUACUAGUUUUGGUCAGCGCUCAUAUCUGUCGCACAAUGCCUCAAGUUGUCGCACAAAUUGAGUGUCAAAGCUGUCUUGCCCCACACGAAAUGAAGUGUUGGCAUGUUGUCUGGCCAUCCAACAUAUGAAGUCGUGUCAACCCACUAAGGGGAUAACAGUGACUUGUAUAACUACAACUGGAGAUUUAAAGGAAGGUAUGUUUUUAUUUUUAUUUUGUCCGUAAAUUGCAGACAGGUAGUUUAGUAGAUGAUACAUCUGGUAAGUCAAUAGAUUAACCUCAGGUUAUGACAUGCCAUCUGACUCUAAGCUUUCUAGUUUACUGGUAUUAUGUUAUGUUUAAUAUUCACCGUAUAAUGUUUUGAGCAGGGUAAGUUACUACAAAGAUUAAAUAUUGAUAAUGGGCUCUAGAGAUUGGUUCAAAAAUAUAAUCCGCUUAAAGAAAGAGGAGAAUGGGAAGACAAAAUCACUAAAGGUACCUGUGAAUGGAUCAACUUUUUGCAAUUUAUUACCAAUCUAUCAUGCUAUUUCUUUUUUCUUCUUUUUUCUUUCAGGAUCUUGGGGGUUUGGGGGUAGGUUUGGUGCCUGAAUGUGUUUACAUGUAUGAAAUGAAACUUGUCUUUUUGCUGAUGUAAUAUAUGAGGUGAAAUUAUUAUUGUUUCUUACAAUGAUUCUUAUUGUGGCUAGAGAAGUGCCAGGUAUAAGGCAUUUACAAUCUGUGAUUCAACUCCUUAUUUAGCAUGUGCAUUCAUCUCAAUGCUAUAGUCUACGCUUAGUUUCUAUAUAGUUCAUAAUGAUUCCAUGUAAUGAUAACAAAGCUUAUGUGAAAUACCUGUCAUGUUCUCUUUUUCAUUCGGACCCAUAUAGGCCUCCAUGAACACAAGUCAUUUUCUCGUUGUGGUUCUAAAUGGUGCUGCAAUGUCUUUCGUAGGAUAUCUUAUGGUUAGUAAACUUGGAAUCACUACAGGAUUGAUUUUUUAUUUGUUUUUUUCUUUGUACAGGGAUCUUCAGCACCUCAAAAUUCAAUUGGGAUCAAUAAGGACCCCACUCUCAGAAAGAGUCCACUGCUCUUGCUAACGGUAAUUCUAAUGAAAAUCCUGUGGCUCUUCCGAUGCUAGAUGAGGAUAUAGCAGCGAUUAGGAUUCAAAGUGCAUUUCUAGUAUAUAGGGUAAAUCGUGUUGCGAGUUAUGCUUGCUACUGCUAUCUUGUUUCUUACAACACUAAUUCAAAACUUAAAAAGUAUAAAGAAUUUUAUAGCGGGUGCUUAGUUUGUCCCAUCAGAUAUCUUUAUUCAUUUGGUAAUGUCUUACAUUAUGUAUUUCUGCUGUUAAUGAUUUUAGUAUGAUAUUAGAAUUUUAUAGCGGGUGCUUAGCUUGUCCCUUGGGACGCGAAUAUUUAUAUUAUAUCAAUGUAAAUUAUUCUAUUAUUUCUGUUGUUAA
rnacentral:lncRNA from 1 species